rnacentral:rRNA from 1 species
AUACGGAGGGUCCAAGCGUUAUCCGGAUUCAUUGGGUUUAAAGGGUCCGCAGGCGGGAAAAUAAGUCAGUGGUGAAAUCCUACAGCUCAACUGUAGAACUGCCAUUGAUACUGUUUUUCUUGAGUAUAGAUGAAGUGGGCGGAAUAUAUCAUGUAGCGGUGAAAUGCAUAGAUAUGAUAUAGAACACCGAUUGCGAAGGCAGCUCACUAAGCUAUUACUGACGCUCAGGGACGAAAGCGUGGGGAGCGAACAGGAUUAGAAACCCCAGUAGUCC